rnacentral:rRNA from 1 species
UGCAGGCGGUUUGUUAAGUCAGAUGUGAAAGCCCGGGGCUCAACCUCGGAACCGCAUUUGAAACUGGCAGGCUAGAGUCUUGUAGAGGGGGGUAGAAUUUCAGGUGUAGCGGUGAAAUGCGUAGAGAUCUGAAGGAAUACCAGUGGCGAAGGCGGCCCCCUGGACAAAGACUGACGCUCAGAUGCGAAAGCGUGGGUAGCAAACAGGAUUAGAUACCCUGGUAGUCCACGCCGUAAACGCUGUCUACUUGGAGGUUGAGGUUUAGACUUUGGCUUUCGGCGCUAACGCAUUAAGUAGACCGCCUGGGGAGUACGGCCGCAAGGUUAAAACUCAAAUGAAUUGACGGGGGCCCGCACAAGCGGUGGAGCAUGUGGUUUAAUUCGAUGCAACGCGAAGAACCUUACCUACUCUUGACAUCCAGAGAACUUUCCAGAGAUGGAUUGGUGCCUUCGGGAACUCUGAGACAGGUGCUGCAUGGCUGUCGUCAGCUCGUGUUGUGAAAUGUUGGGUUAAGUCCCGCAACGAGCGCAACCCUUAUCCUUGUUUGCCAGCACGUAAUGGUGGGAACUCCAGGGAGACUGCCGGUGAUAAACCGGAGGAAGGUGGGGACGACGUCAAGUCAUCAUGGCCCUUACGAGUAGGGCUACACACGUGCUACAAUGGCAGAUACAGAGGGCAGCGAAGCUGCGAAGUGGAGCGAAUCCCUUAAAGUCUGUCGUAGUCCGGAUUGGAGUCUGCAACUCGACUCCA